ACAGUCAGGCCCAUGCGGCUCCGCACUCAACACUCCCCUCGGCCGUCCUGCCGGUGAGCUGGCCAACUCGCCGGGGGCUGUCACGUCCCUCCGUUGCACGCCCUCGCUUGUUGGGGCUCCCGCCGUAAUUAAUCACAGUAUUAAUCCUGGCCAAGCUUGUCUUCCUGAAUAAUUGUGUCAACGCGCUCCGGUGUCUGGGCCCAACAGAAAUGCGACCAACUUUGAGCACUGGACGGUAUCCCUGCGCCCAGGACCGCAGUGAAGGCCUGAACUCCUUGCUUACCCCUUGGCGCGCGCACACACACGUGCAAGCACACACGUGAACGCGCGCCGGCUUGUACGGCACUUCCAGGCACAGCCUCUGCACUGAGCGGGAGCCACUAGUGAGGAGCAGAAUGUUGGAGCCCACGGGAAACUGCGUUUCUUCUCAAAGUUAGGGGAGCAUUUUCUACAAAGGAAAAGGAGCAAGCGAACAAAGUAAGCUGCUACCAAGUCCACCAUCCAGUGCGAUGGUUGUCAUGGAUCUCAGAGCUGGAUGAAACCAGGGUGACAUCAAAGACCAUGAGAUGGAAUCAGACUGCUUUGAACAGGAUGCCUCAGCGGUAUCCAGCUUUGAUCUUUUUUCAGUUUGGCCAAGUGAUGUUUAUGCUGUGUCAGUGCAGAGGAAACCUGAGAGCAAGACAGUUUCCCGCACACCUGCUGCUUUAAACAGAUGGACUUUAUGGAUUGACGUCCACAGUGGAUGAUCCGGCUGCCACAUCAUUUUCACAAAGGAGCUAUAAUGAUGUAAUUGAAGAUCAUCUUUUCUUUCUCCCAAUCAACAUUUUUUAAACUAUUUUGAAAGUUGAAGUAUAGCUAAUUUACAGUGUUUUGUUAGUUUCAGGUGUACAGCAGAGUGAUUCAGUUAUACAUAUGUAUGUAUC